UGGAUAGCUUGCCCCUCUUGUCUGGCU
rnacentral:piRNA from 1 species